rnacentral:rRNA from 1 species
UGGGGAAUAUUGGACAAUGGGCGCAAGCCUGAUCCAGCAAUGCCCGCGUGAGUGAUGAAGGCCUUCGGGUCGUAAAGCUCUUUUACCAGGGAUGAUAAUGACAGUACCUGGAGAAUAAGCUCCGGCUAACUAAGUG